ensembl:lncRNA
CUGUACUCAGUCGGUGGGUCGGGCGCGGGGUGGGGAGGGGAGUGGUUACUGAAGAAUGAAAGGAGACCCUCCCGGGGGAUGCGGGAGGGGAAGGAGAGGGAAUUGGGGCUGACUGGGCAGAAGAAGGCGAGGGUGAGAGGCGCAAGGGAGAUUAGAGUGAAGAAGGAACGACUAAGGGAGAGUCUGACGUAGGGUUGAGGGGUGGAGAUGCGGCCAGACUUGGAGGGGGCCAUUGAGGAAGGACUGGUCAGUGGAAAGACUGAAGGCUAUUGGAGGAGUUAAACUAAGAGGGAGGGUUCAGAUCAGGGACCUAAUAUCCAGCCAGGAAAAGGGCCCCAGACCGAAACAGGGAGUCCAAGAAGUCGUAUCCUGUCGUUUCCAGUAUAGUGGGUUCUUAGACUUAGCCGUUGUUGAUCAGAGAAGUCGUCUGAAAGGUGAAGCAUUUUAACUCUCUGCGUAUAGUACUGCUUUCUGCAGAUUGUGUUUCUUUCACAAAAAAAGUGGGGUAGAGGCCAGCUCUAAUCUGUGAUGGUUGCAUCAUUCGGGUGGCUUCUUCUGAUAUUCUUCUCCCAUAUAGGCCACCUACGGAGUAUGGAGUAUGGAGUAGAGUUCCUUGUGCUAUAUAACCUCAGGCAUCAGCAGAAUUCCUCUGCAGUGCUGACCCAAAGUCACUGGAAGGGACAUUCACCCUGAUGAACUAGAUUAUCAGAAACAUCUGUGUCCACCUCCUCCCAGGAGGCAUCAAGUCCUAGGUGUGGCUGACAGCUCCCACUGUGAGUGAAACCCUCCUCAUGGACUCCCCGGAAAGUGUUUUCCCUAAGGAUUUUUUCAAAAUGCUGUUUUUCUCCAAAGGGGCCUGUGCUAUGUUUUGCCUUAUGAGAAAAUUAGGGAAGUAUUUGGAAACCCCAAAAUACGUAUCAGGAGAGUUACACAAGCCUGUGGAGACGUUACCAGAUGCCAAGAGUUCAAGGCAUGACACCAAAGCCCAAGCUUGGAACCCACCUGUGGAAGGAGCUGAAACCAAACUGUUGCCCCCAGACUCAGUCACCAGCUGACCUGACCCCACUGUAAACAGGAUGAACUUUUCCUUUCUCUCUUUUUUGAAAAGCAUCUUAUAUUGUAGUUUGGGGUUUUUCUAUAUCACAAAACAGAUUUAGAGGAUUCCAGGGGUUUGGGUUAACAGGAAAUACAAAUGGAAAUUAAAAAAAAAACAAAAACAAACCUGAAUGGAACUCAGCUCUCCACGGACAGAAUCCGCAUGGGUGUCACAGCUCACUGAAUUAGCACCACUUGUAGAAGCGAAGACACCAG